rnacentral:rRNA from 1 species
GUGGGGAAUAUUGGACAAUGGGCGAAAGCCUGAUCCAGCCAUGCCGCGUGUGUGAAGAAGGUCUUCGGACUGUAAAGCACUUUAAGUUGGGAGGAAGGGCAUUAACCUAAUACGUUAGUGUUUUGACGUUACCGACAGAAUAUGCACCGGCUAACUUCGUGCCAGCAGCCGCGGUAAUACGAAGGGUGCAAGCGUUAAUCGGAAUUACUGGGCGUAAAGCGCGCGUAGGUGGUUCGUUAAGUUGGAUGUGAAAGCCCCGGGCUCAACCUGGGAAGUGCAUCCAAAACUGGCGAGCUAGAGUACGGUAGAGGGUGGUGGAAUUUCCUGUGUAGCGGUGAAAUGCGUAGAUAUAGGAAGGAACACCAGUGGCGAAGGCGACCACCUGGACUGAUACUGACACUGAGGUGCGAAAGCGUGGGGAGCAAACAGGAUUAGAAACCCCGGUAGUCC